rnacentral:rRNA from 1 species
UAUGCUUGUCCCGAAGCUUAAGCCAUGCAUGUCUAAGACUAAGUAGCUUGAUCCAUGAAUCUGCGAACGGCUCCGUAUAUCUGUUAUAACCCAACUCCUCCGAUGUCCCCUUCCCGUCCGCUCUCACGGGCGGCCGGGGGGGGGGUGACCCAUCGGAUACCCACGGUAAUUCUGUGGCUAAUACGUGUACCUAGAAGGGCGUGGUCACCCCCGUCCGCGGGGGAGGCCAUGCCUGGCCUUGUGGACCGACCGGAGGGAGCGAUCCCAAUGGGCGGAGCCCCCACAAGCUGCCUGACCGGGAUUCGUCCCGGCAUGCGAGAUGGGCGCCAGACCUAUCAACUAGACAGCCAGGGAUAGCCUGGCUGUGGUUAUAACGGGUACAGAGGAUCAGGGUUCGGUCCUGGAGAGGUAGCCUGAGAGAUCGCUACUACUUCUAAGGAAGGCAGCAGGCGCGCAACGUUCCCAAUGGGGACCCCCUGAGGACGUGAGGGGACAUAUCAAUGCCCGGCCCAUAAAGCCGGGCAAUUGGAAUGGGGGACCUUUAAACCCCCCACCGAGUA